CGGUUAUUUGAUAGUACCUUACUACUUGGAUAACCGUGGUAAUUCUAGAGCUAAUACAUGCUGAAAACCCCGACUUCGGAAGGGGUGUAUUUAUUAGAUAAAAAACCAAUGCCCUUCGGGGCUCCUUGGUGAUUCAUAAUAACUUCUCAGAUCGCAUGGCCUUGCGCCGGCGACGGUUCAUUCAAAUUUCUGCCCUAUCAACUUUCGAUGGUAAGGUAUUGGCUUACCAUGGUUUCAACGGGUAACGGGGAAUUAGGGUUCGAUUCCGGAGAGGGAGCCUGAGAAACGGCUACCACAUCCAAGGAAGGCAGCAGGCGCGCAAAUUACCCAAUCCCGACACGGGGAGGUAGUGACAAUAAAUACUGAUACAGGGCUCUUUUGGGUCUUGUAAUUGGAAUGAGUACAAUUUAAACCUCUUAACGAGGAACAAUUGGAGGGCAAGUCUGGUGCCAGCAGCCGCGGUAAUUCCAGCUCCAAUAGCGUAUAUUAAAGUUGUUGCAGUUAAAAAGCUCGUAGUUGAACCUUUGGCCUGGCUGGCAGGUCCGCCUCACCGCGUGCACUUGUCCGGCCGGGCCUUCUCUUCUGGAGAACCUCAUGCUCUUCACUGGGUGUGUUGGGGACCAGGACUUUUACUUUGAAAAAAUUAGAGUGUUCAAAGCAGGCCUUUGCUCGAAUACGUUAGCAUGGAAUAAUAGAAUAGGACGUGCGGUCCUAUUUUGUUGGUUUCUAGGACCGCCGUAAUGAUUAAUAGGGACAGUCGGGGGCAUCAGUAUUCAAUUGUCAGAGGUGAAAUUCUUGGAUUUAUUGAAGACUAACUACUGCGAAAGCAUUUGCCAAGGAUGUUUUCAUUAAUCAGUGAACGAAAGUUAGGGGAUCGAAGACGAUCAGAUACCGUCGUAGUCUUAACCAUAAACUAUGCCGACUAGGGAUCGGGCGGUGUUAUUAUUUG
rnacentral:rRNA from 1 species